CUUUAAUAGCCUCUCUCCGGUGUGAACUGCUGUGUUACCAGGAGUAUGCUAUAGAAAGCAGCUGGUCUUACUGUUUGGAUCAGUGGCAGCAGCCUGAUAUGCACAGCUUAGAGGAGGCACGGACCUUCGCUCACUGACAACAGAGGCAGAAGCGGAGAAUAAAACCCCAAUAUCUUUACACUAAAAGGGAUAUGAAUAGAUAAUGUAAAAAUAAUUUACUUUUGCCAUAUGAAUUAUAGCAAUCUUCAAAGGGCCCAUUGUAAUAAGAAAAAUAAAGGAACAGUAGGUAGAUUAUCUUUAAAAUAUGUGAACAUCUCUCAAUAGCCGAGACCAUAUAUCUCAGUAUCAUAUGGGGA